rnacentral:rRNA from 1 species
UACGUAGGGGGCGAGCGUUGUCCGGAUUCAUUGGGCGUAAAGAGCUCGUAGGCGGCCAGUUGCGUCUGCUGUGAAAUCCCGGGGCUCAACCCCGGGCGUGCAGUGGAUACGGGCUGGCUAGAGGCAGGCAGGGGAGAACGGAAUUCCCGGUGUAGCGGUGAAAUGCGCAGAUAUCGGGAGGAACACCGGUGGCGAAGGCGGUUCUCUGGGCCUGUACUGACGCUGAGGAGCGAAAGCGUGGGGAGCGAACAGG